GACGCGGUGGCCGAGCGGCCAGGCAGCAGAUUGCAACCCUGCGGAGGCUGGUUCGACUCCAGCCCGCGUCUCCA
rnacentral:tRNA from 1 species